rnacentral:rRNA from 1 species
UACAGAGGUCCCAAGCGUUGUUCGGAUUCAUUGGGCGUAAAGGGUGCGUAGGCGGCGCGGUAAGUCGGGUGUGAAAUCUCGGGGCUUAACUCCGAAACUGCAUUCGAUACUGCCGUGCUUGAGGACUGGAGAGGAGACUGGAAUUCAGGUGUAGCAGUGAAAUGCGUAGAUAUCAUAGGAAGACCAGUGGCGAAGGCGGGUCUCUGGACAGUUCCUGACGCUGAGCACGAAGGUCCAGGGGAGCAAACGGG